UACGGGGGGGGCAAGCGGUUGUUCGGAAUUACUGGGCGUAAAGGGCUCGUAGGCGGCCAACUAAGUCAGACGUGAAAUCCCUCGGCUUAACCGGGGAACUGCGUCUGAUACUGGAUGGCUUGAGUUUGGGAGAGGGAUGCGGAAUUCCAGGUGUAGCGGUGAAAUGCGUAGAUAUCUGGAGGAACACCGGUGGCGAAGGCGGCAUCCUGGGACCAACACUGACGCUGAGUGAAGCGAAAGCCCAGGGGAGCAAAACGGGG
rnacentral:rRNA from 1 species